GAUUCUACCUUUGCUCCAUCCUCUUCGUUUCACUGGACACUGCGAGCUCGUUCUUAACAGUGGCCAGCAAACCUGUUGCUCCAUGGAUCAAGCGAUUGAUAAGUAAUCCCUUCGAUUACCGCUAAACCCCCGAAGCCACGCAAAAGAUUGCAUUUCAAUCGUGAUUUUCAACCGUCUUCCGUUUGAAACCUUUCAUUGGAAACCUAACAAAAUAACCGUUGUUCCAGGAAAGAGAAGUAUAUGUACGAAACGAUUAAAUGCAUUCGCUUAUAGUCAUUCCUACGUCCACGGAAUACAGGAGUGAGAAGGACUAGAGAAGGCAAAAGUGGGGAGAAGUACACAGGAAUUUCUGCGUCUUUCCGAUGCACAAGGCGCCAGCAAAAUAGCCACGUCUGGAUUGCAAAGGAAAUUACAAGAACGAUUAAUUAUACGCAUUCAUGGGAUCGGUUUCAACGCGUUAUCCUAACGGAUCUAAUAAUAACGGAGAUAAACGCAGAUAGAACAAGCAACGAUUAGUUCAAACGAAGAGGAGAACGUUCCAGCCUUGCAAGAGGAUGUUAUCAAGCGAAGUAACGAAUGCCUCCUAUGAAUUUUACUUUACAACAAUCGAUACAAUCUAUUUGUAAUUAUAGCUAGGCUUUAUAAAUACAGUUUCAGCUCGAAGAAUUAGCAUCGAAGUAACUGAAUAGCUUGACGAAUGAUGCGAAUCCACCAACGGCGGUGAAAACGAUGACAAGAUAGAAAGUGGUCGCUUGCGUUCGCAGUGUACCGACCACGUCGUCGUAUAGUAUGCUUCGGCAAAUUUUACGAUCAUUCUCGAAGGUUUAGGACCGGAGAAUUAGACUGAAGAAUGCGACCCAGGGCUUGGUAUACCUUCAAGAUCCUGCGAGGACGUGCCACGGGACUUGCGGGAUAUUUAUGAGCACUCAAGAACACAUUAGAAGAUCCAAUCCUUCGCGAAUGGAAGCUCUUCGGUUGCUUCGUACUGCUUGACCCUCAGUUUUUUGGGGGGAAAACCCACAAUGGUUCCAAUUCAUCGGAAAUUCUAAUUUUUCCACCAUUUUGUUUUCGUUGAAUACGAAUCGAGCGAGUGUAGCUGCAAGAAAAUGUAAAUUAUUCAGUAGAGCGCGGAAACGCAAAAAACAAGGACGAGGAGAUCUUGUAAAUUACAAUUCUCGGCUCAUCCGCGAUCCCUGCGAAGGACGAGUACAAAGGAGGUCGAAGAGAUGUAAUUUGCAGCGGACUCGUUCGAGUAAAAGCAUUAGAGAAGACCGAAACGGAACGAUACAGACGCCACAUUAUGCUCCCCGUCGCAUUAAGAGCUAUAUACAGUAAUGUGUACUUUGUCUCAUGCGAUGUUCGAAAAGAAAAACGUAAUUGCACGUUUUGCGCUACCGGAUCCGCGUUACUCCAAUUCUUUGCUGCUCGCGAAACGAAAUUAGGGUUAUUAACUAGAAAACGUUCGCGAGGGCGCGGAAAAUGUUUGACCUGGUUCGUUGUUCCACUUGCUCGUCGUUUUUUAUUUUUUUUUUUUUUUUUUUUACGAACGGUAAUUCUGUUAAAUUAGUAGGAAUUUGUGAUCGACUCUGAAAUGAGAGACCAAGCAAAUUAUACCCGUACUGUUACACCACUUAGAUUCACCUGACGCAAUCCUAUUAAUCAACCUUUAUUCUAUAAACAACCUGAACCAUUUACCAGAAAAAAUAUUUUUAAAAAAUUACAUUAAAAUAUGAAUUGUUACAGGAAGAUCGAUACCAGAGGGAAGAAGUCAUCCAAUCUGAAAGGAAGCAAACGGUGCUGGAAGUGAAUGAAACGCCUAUGUCGUGGGAAAAUUAUCCGACAAACGUGGAACGAUUCAGGCACGUCGCGGUGCAGGGUGCAGAUGUAGCUUCAGACGAAGCCCGCGGAGAGACCGUCGCGCUUUAGAAAUUAUUUUAUCGCUGGCGACACCAUAAACUGAGGAUUCUUGGACUGUCGUAAACCUCCUGUACCUUGGCUCGAACAUUUCAACGAGCAAUCGCCGCAGCCUGAUCUGCGAGCAUCUCUGGACCAUACAGAGUGUAACUGAGAACAACUGUAAUAGUCCUUAUAAUCGGUUGGGUUGGUUUGACAUUGACAACGCACGCCGCAGCGAAUACGAAAAUUGAUAGUUGAGACAGCAUUUACCGAGCCAGCAAUUUAUUCUAACAUCGGGUGGGCUAAUGUCCACUCCACGCGGAGGUGAGCUUAAGGAAACCGCGCGGAAGUUCGGAGACUAUCGAGAAACCUUUCCUCGAGGACGGCGUUCAGUCAAAAGUAGUACACUACGUAGCAUCGACGUCGAAUCGGACCAUUGUCGACUUAAGGAUACAGAAUUGUCCUUAUCCGGUACAAUUAUCCAGAAAUGAAAAAGACACGCUCUGGGAGCUCCUGAAGGUGUCCAACGGACUGCCGUGAGACAUGCGAUGCUGCGGAAGGAAAUAAUUUCCAGCGAUAUCUUCAACGAAGUAAUUAUCUUCAUCUAGGAAUAACGAAUCGCUCUCAACGAUACAAAAGCAAUCAGGGCGAAACAGCCGUUCUUUCUAAGCGAUUUCGUGUCAUGAGGCACUGCUUAUAGCUUAAUUGACUGUGAACAUCGAACCCACGGUCGCAGCAAGCAACUACCGAAGGUUUUAACGAUCAAAGGCGAGAGUUUCUAGCAUGACACCAUCGUCGACAUAUUCUGACGAUAGUUGGACCCACGUAUGUACGCGCGAAGCUGUCUUUCGAUUGAUUAAUCUUCGAUUGAAGCUUACUUCUCGUUGUACGAGAGAUUUUCUCCUGUAAUUAUAAUGGAAUGAAGUCGAGAUUAGCCGACACGAGGCUCGAGCGAUUACGUACGUAGUAGAAAAAGAUAACGAACAUUAAAUGUUUCCAAUCGAGCCGAUUGAGAUUCAA